rnacentral:rRNA from 1 species
AGCAGCCGCGGUAAUUCCAGCUCCAAUAGCGUAUAUUAAAGUUGUUGCAGUUAAAAGCUCGUAGUUGAAUUUCGGGAUUAGUACGUUGGUCGUGCCUUCGGUACGUACUGGUGUUACUGAUUCCUACCUUCUGACGAACCGUCAUGUCAUUAAUUUGAUGUGGCGGGGAAUCAGGACUGUUACUUUGAAAAAUUAGAGUGUUUAAAGCAGGCUCGCGCUUGAAUACAUUAGCAUGGAAUAAUGAAAUAGGACGUUCGAUCCUAUUUUGUUGGUUUCUAGGAUUGACGUAAUGAUUAAUAGGGAUAGUUGGGGGCAUUAGUAUUCAAUUGUCAGAGGUGAAAUUCUUGGAUUUAUUGAAGACUAACUACUGCGAAAGCAUUUGCCAAGGAUGUUUUCAUUAAUCAAGAACGAAAGUUAGGGAUCGAAGACGAUCAGAUACCGUCGUAGUCU